rnacentral:rRNA from 1 species
UUGACCUCGGAUCAGGUAGGGAUACCCGCUGAACUUAAUCAUAUCGUA